rnacentral:rRNA from 1 species
GACGAAGGGGGCUAGCGUUGUUCGGAAUUACUGGGCGUAAAGCGCGUGUAGGCGGUUGUCCAAGUUGGAUGUGAAAGCCUUGAGCUCAACUCAAGAAAUGCAUUCAGGACUGGAUGACUAGAGGACCGGAGAGGAUAGUGGAAUUCCCAGUGUAGUGGUGAAAUACGUAGAGAUUGGGAAGAACACCAGUGGCGAAGGCGGCUAUCUGGACGGUUUCUGACGCUGAGACGCGAAAGCGUGGGGAGCAAACAGG